rnacentral:sRNA from 1 species
CUGUCCCUCAAUGUCUUGGAGUAUCUGUGGCUCCUGACGGUACUGAAUACCUGUGUGAAUCCGUUCAUCUAUGGUUUCUGUUUUAAAGACUUGAGACAAAGACUUGUUCGGAUAUUAGAAAGCAUCAUGCCUCGAGCAACAAACAAAUCGUCCACAAACAACAGAGAUCCAAUCACUGAUAAAACGCGAAGAAAUCUUCCAAGACAAGAUUCCAUUAGGAUUGACGUCAAUCAAAGAUCGCCUUCAUCGGACCACACCAUCAGAAAUCAGCUUCACGUUCACGUCAUCACGUCCACGUGUCCCAACGUCCAAGAUACUAGUUCAUUAAAUUGGAUGAAACCAAAGUACAAAGCAACAAAAUAAAAUAAAUAAAAAAAAAACUUGGUCUUGAAAUAGCUAAUUUAUUUGAGAUACAAGAGUGAUUUAUCUGGGAAGAUCACACGUUUCAAUGUCAACAUUUCAAAUAAAUUUCAAUACACUUCUUUUCUACUUAGAAAAAGAUCUGCUUUGUGAUUCACAUUCUAAAAAUUAAUAACGGCAAUCUCCCUCUCAUACUUUGCAGCCACAGAAAAGACGCUAUUUUUUAUAUUUUAUUUAUCCGUUCG